rnacentral:lncRNA from 1 species
UGUAGGGCCUAACCUGAGUGGCCAGUGAGCAGAGGAAGGCAGUGGCAUGGGAACCAGACCUCUGCGGGGAUGGACUGGUCUGGGCAAGACCCCAGGCCUUAGUGAGGAUGCUAGAGCUACCUGCAGAGAGGGCUUACUGGAGCAAGGCCCUGGGGAGUGUGGUCUCGGUCUCAUUUCCUGUCGGCUGCUGGCCCGUGAGCCUCAGGUCUUCUGCAAGAAACUGGAGAGCCAGAGAUCUGGCCCAGCGCCCUGCCUGUGACCCCCAGCACUGGAUGCCUCUCUGCCAGCUGCUCCAGCACUGGGGCCAUUUUCUGCUCCCUCACCUGGUGGCCUUGCUUAAUCCCUGGGAGUGGGGCAGAGGCCCAGCCUGCCAUCCCUAUGGAAGGCCCUGGAGUCUCCCAGUGUGGACAUAGCAUCUCACAGACAUGAGUUACCCAAGGCCUUUGAG